rnacentral:rRNA from 1 species
CCUACGGGUGGCAGCAGUGAGGAAUAUUGGUCAAUGGCCGCAGGGCUGAACCAGCCAAGUCGCGUGAGGGAUGACGGUCCUAUGGAUUGUAAACCUCUUUUGUCAGGGAGCAAAGGGCGCCACGUGUGGCGUUUUGCGAGUACCUGAAGAAAAAGCAUCGGCUAACUCCGUGCCAGCAGCCGCGGUACUACGGAGGAUGCGAGCGUUAUCCGGAUUUAUUGGGUUUAAAGGGUGCGCAGGCGGAAUGUCAAGUCAGCGGUAAAAUGUCGGGGCUCAACCCCGUCGUGCCGUUGAAACUGGCGUGCUUGAGUGAGCGAGAAGUAUGCGGAAUGCGUGGUGUAGCGGUGAAAUGCAUAGAUAUCACGCAGAACUCCGAUUGCGAAGGCAGCAUACCGGCGCUCAACUGACGCUCAUGCACGAAAGCGUGGGUAGCGAACAGGAUUAGAUACCCCUGUAGUC